AUUGAACGCUGGCGGCAUGCCUUACACAUGCAAGUCGAACGGCAGCACGGAGCUUGCUCUGGUGGCGAGUGGCGAACGGGUGAGUAAUAUAUCGGAACGUACCCUGGAGUGGGGGAUAACGUAGCGAAAGUUACGCUAAUACCGCAUACGAUCUAAGGAUGAAAGUGGGGGAUCGCAAGACCUCAUGCUCGUGGAGCGGCCGAUAUCUGAUUAGCUAGUUGGUAGGGUAAAAGCCUACCAAGGCAUCGAUCAGUAGCUGGUCUGAGAGGACGACCAGCCACACUGGAACUGAGACACGGUCCAGACUCCUACGGGAGGCAGCAGUGGGGAAUUUUGGACAAUGGGCGAAAGCCUGAUCCAGCAAUGCCGCGUGAGUGAAGAAGGCCUUCGGGUUGUAAAGCUCUUUUGUCAGGGAAGAAACGGUGAGAGCUAAUAUCUCUUGCUAAUGACGGUACCUGAAGAAUAAGCACCGGCUAACUACGUGCCAGCAGCCGCGGUAAUACGUAGGGUGCAAGCGUUAAUCGGAAUUACUGGGCGUAAAGCGUGCGCAGGCGGUUUUGUAAGUCUGAUGUGAAAUCCCCGGGCUCAACCUGGGAAUUGCAUUGGAGACUGCAAGGCUAGAAUCUGGCAGAGGGGGGUAGAAUUCCACGUGUAGCAGUGAAAUGCGUAGAUAUGUGGAGGAACACCGAUGGCGAAGGCAGCCCCCUGGGUCAAGAUUGACGCUCAUGCACGAAAGCGUGGGGAGCAAACAGGAUUAGAUACCCUGGUAGUCCACGCCCUAAACGAUGUCUACUAGUUGUCGGGUCUUAAUUGACUUGGUAACGCAGCUAACGCGUGAAGUAGACCGCCUGGGGAGUACGGUCGCAAGAUUAAAACUCAAAGGAAUUGACGGGGACCCGCACAAGCGGUGGAUGAUGUGGAUUAAUUCGAUGCAACGCGAAAAACCUUACCUACCCUUGACAUGGCUGGAAUCCCCGAGAGAUUGGGGAGUGCUCGAAAGAGAACCAGUACACAGGUGCUGCAUGGCUGUCGUCAGCUCGUGUCGUGAGAUGUUGGGUUAAGUCCCGCAACGAGCGCAACCCUUGUCAUUAGUUGCUACGAAAGGGCACUCUAAUGAGACUGCCGGUGACAAACCGGAGGAAGGUGGGGAUGACGUCAAGUCCUCAUGGCCCUUAUGGGUGGGGCUUCACACGUCAUACAAUGGUACAUACAGAGCGCCGCCAACCCGCGAGGGGGAGCUAAUCGCAGAAAGUGUAUCGUAGUCCGGAUUGUAGUCUGCAACUCGACUGCAUGAAGUUGGAAUCGCUAGUAAUCGCGGAUCAGCAUGUCGCGGUGAAUACGUUCCCGGGUCU
rnacentral:rRNA from 1 species